UGUUAAAAAUUUCAUACAUUUCUAUAGUUAAAAAUUAGUGCGGCAAACGGAAUAACCAGAUAAUCACGCCACGUGUACAUCGUGCCAACGUAGAGGAAACCAUUUUUAACAAUAGAAAUAAAUAUAAUUUUUUUACA
rfam:Gossypium arboreum cultivar AKA8401 contig_11142_1, whole genome shotgun sequence.